rnacentral:lncRNA from 1 species
AAGUCAGAAGAUUAGAGAACAAGAAGAGAAGAAAGUGAGGGGUCGAUGGAUUGAUUGCCUAUCUUGGAGGAUUCUAGAGUCUUAAUUCAUAAGAGAGAAGUCUAAGUCGUAUCCGUCUCGAAGUCCUACUGAUUUUUAAAUUUAUCGCAUCGAUUGAUUUGGAGAAGAAUUUUUCUUUUACGGGAGAUUUGAUCGCGGAGAAGUUCUAUCUUAUCUGGAUUUUUCCGGUUUGGAGAAAUGACGGAUCUGUUGGUGGAAGAAAUAGCUCGGCCAUCACCAAUCUAGGAUAGGUUGUCUGAGCCGACCUACAAUAGGUCAUCAUGGCCGAGAUACCAGAGUUCGUGGAGCGAGUACUUAUCCUCUUGCUGAUUGGAAUA